UACGGAGGAUGCGAGCGUUAUCCGGAUUUAUUGGGUUUAAAGGGUGCGCAGGCGGCGUGUCAAGUCAGCGGUAAAAUGUCGGGGCUCAACCCCGGCCGGCCGUUGAAACUGGCGUGCUCGAGUUGGAGAGAAGUAUGCGGAAUUCGUGGUGUAGCGGUGAAAUGCAUAGAUAUCACACAGAACACCGAUUGCGAAGGCAUCUCACGAAUCCGCUAUUGACGCUGAUGCACGAAAGCGUGGGUAUCAAACAGG
rnacentral:rRNA from 1 species